AGAGUUUGAUCAUGGCUCAGAUUGAACGCUGGCGGCAGGCCUAACACAUGCAAGUCGAACGGUAACAGGAAGCAGCUUGCUGCUUCGCUGACGAGUGGCGGACGGGUGAGUAAUGUCUGGGAAGCUGCCUGAUGGAGGGGGAUAACUACUGGAAACGGUAGCUAAUACCGCAUAAUGUCGCAAGACCAAAGAGGGGGACCUUCGGGCCUCUUGCCAUCGGAUGUGCCCAGAUGGGAUUAGCUUGUUGGUGGGGUAACGGCUCACCAAGGCGACGAUCCCUAGCUGGUCUGAGAGGAUGACCAGCCACACUGGAACUGAGACACGGUCCAGACUCCUACGGGAGGCAGCAGUGGGGAAUAUUGCACAAUGGGCGCAAGCCUGAUGCAGCCAUGCCGCGUGUAUGAAGAAGGCCUUCGGGUUGUAAAGUACUUUCAGCGGGGAGGAAGGGAGUAAAGUUAAUACCUUUGCUCAUUGACGUUGCCCGCAGAAGAAGCACCGGCUAACUCCGUGCCAGCAGCCGCGGUAAUACGGAGGGUGCAAGCGUUAAUCGGAAUUACUGGGCGUAAAGCGCACGCAGGCGGUUUGUUAAGUCAGAUGUGAAAUCCCCGGGCUCAACCUGGGAACUGCAUCUGAUACUGGCAAGCUUGAGUCUCGUAGAGGGGGGUAGAAUUCCAGGUGUAGCGGUGAAAUGCGUAGAGAUCUGGAGGAAUACCGGUGGCGAAGGCGGCCCCCUGGACGAAGACUGACGCUCAGGUGCGAAAGCGUGGGGAGCAAACAGGAUUAGAUACCCUGGUAGUCCACGCCGUAAACGAUGUCGACUUGGAGGUUGUGCCCUUGAGGCGUGGCUUCCGGAGCUAACGCGUUAAGUCGACCGCCUGGGGAGUACGGCCGCAAGGUUAAAACUCAAAUGAAUUGACGGGGGCCCGCACAAGCGGUGGAGCAUGUGGUUUAAUUCGAUGCAACGCGAAGAACCUUACCUGGUCUUGACAUCCACGGAAGUUUUCAGAGAUGAGAAUGUGCCUUCGGGAACCGUGAGACAGGUGCUGCAUGGCUGUCGUCAGCUCGUGUUGUGAAAUGUUGGGUUAAGUCCCGCAACGAGCGCAACCCUUAUCCUUUGUUGCCAGCGGUCCGGCCGGGAACUCAAAGGAGACUGCCAGUGAUAAACUGGAGGAAGGUGGGGAUGACGUCAAGUCAUCAUGGCCCUUACGACCAGGGCUACACACGUGCUACAAUGGCGCAUACAAAGAGAAGCGACCUCGCGAGAGCAAGCGGACCUCAUAAAGUGCGUCGUAGUCCGGAUUGGAGUCUGCAACUCGACUCCAUGAAGUCGGAAUCGCUAGUAAUCGUGGAUCAGAAUGCCACGGUGAAUACGUUCCCGGGCCUUGUACACACCGCCCGUCACACCAUGGGAGUGGGUUGCAAAAGAAGUAGGUAGCUUAACCUUCGGGAGGGCGCUUACCACUUUGUGAUUCAUGACUGGGGUGAAGUCGUAACAAGGUA
rnacentral:rRNA from 1 species